UACGAAGGGGGCUAGCGUUGCUCGGAAUCACUGGGCGUAAAGGGUGCGUAGGCGGGUCUUUAAGUCAGGGGUGAAAUCCUGGAGCUCAACUCCAGAACUGCCUUUGAUACUGAAGAUCUUGAGUUCGGGAGAGGUGAGUGGAACUGCGAGUGUAGAGGUGAAAUUCGUAGAUAUUCGGAAGAACACCAGUGGCGAAGGCGACACACUGGCCCGUUACUGACGCUGAGGCUCGAAAGCGUGGGGAGCAAACAGG
rnacentral:rRNA from 1 species